AAUAAAGUGCCUGACUAAAAGGAUUAUUUUGAUAGAAUAAAUUAUGUUUUUAUAAACCUUUAUUU
rnacentral:tRNA from 1 species